UACGUAGGGGCCUAGCGUUGUCCGGAAUUAUUGGGCGUAAAGAGCUCGUAGGUGGUUCGGCAAGUCGGAUGUGAAUCUCCACGCUUAACGUGGAGGGGCCAUUCGAAACUGCUGUGACUUGAGUCCGGUAGGGAGUGUCGGAAUCCGGUGUAGCGGUGAAAUGCGCAGAUAUCGGGAGGAACACCAGUAGCGAAGGCGGCACUCUGGGCCGGUC
rnacentral:rRNA from 1 species